rnacentral:rRNA from 1 species
GGUUGCGAUCAUACCAGCACUAAUGCACCGGAUCCCAUCAGAACUCCGCAGUUAGCGUGCUUGGCGAGAGUAGUACUAGGAUGGGUGACCCCCUGGGAAGUCCUCGUGUUGCAACCC